rnacentral:rRNA from 1 species
UACGUAGGUGGCAAGCGUUGUCCGGAUUUACUGGGCGUAAAGGAUGCGUAGGCGGAUGUUUAAGUGAGAUGUGAAAUACCCGAGCUCAACUUGGGUGCUGCAUUUCAAACUGGAUAUCUAGAGUGCAGGAGAGGAAGGCGGAAUUCCUAGUGUAGCGGUGAAAUGCGUAGAGAUUAGGAAGAACACCAGUGGCGAAGGCGGCUUUCUGGACUGUAACUGACGCUGAGGAGCGAAAGCGUGGGGAGCGAACAGG